UACGUAGGGUGCGAGCGUUAAUCGGAAUUACUGGGCGUAAAGCGUGCGCAGGCGGUUUGUUAAGACAGAUGUGAAAUCCCCGGGCUUAACCUGGGAACUGCAUUUGUGACUGGCAAGCUAGAGUAUGGCAGAGGGGGGUAGAAUUCCACGUGUAGCAGUGAAAUGCGUAGAGACGUGGAGGAAUACCGAUGGCGAAGGCAGCCCCCUGGGCCAAUACUGACGCUCAUGCACGAAAGCGUGGGGAGCAAACAGG
rnacentral:rRNA from 1 species